rnacentral:rRNA from 1 species
UACGUAGGGUGCAAGCGUUAAUCGGAAUUACUGGGCGUAAGCGUGCGCAGGCGGUUAUAUAAGACAGUUGUGAAAUCCCCGGGCUCAACCUGGGAACUGCAUCUGUGACUGUAUAGCUAGAGUACGGUAGAGGGGAUGGAAUUCCGCGUGUAGCAGUGAAAUGCGUAGAUAUGCGGAGGAACACCGAUGGCGAAGGCAAUCCCUGGACCUGUACUGACGCUCAUGCACGAAAGCGUGGGAGCAACAGG